GGAAGGACUGCACAUACAGCGUUGAGGGUUAUUAGGAGAAGCUUUGCAGGGUAUUUGUGGUAUAUAAAAGGGGAUUUAAGUACAGUUUUGGAUGGAAUGAAGGUUGGGAUGGUCAUUAGUGCUUUAAUGAGGGAUGUUAGAGAUAAGAAGGUAGUUGAUUUGAUAAAGGCUGCUUUAACUACUCCUGUGGUAACUACUAGACCUGAUGAUGUUGAGAAAAAGAAGAAGACGAAAAGAAAGUAU
rnacentral:misc_RNA from 1 species